rnacentral:rRNA from 1 species
CUACGGGGUGCUGCAGUGGGGAAUAUUGCACAAUGGGCGCAAGCCUGGUGCAGCAACGCCGCGUGAGGGAUGAAGGCCUUCGGGUUGUAAACCUCUUUUAGCAGGGAAGAAGCGAAAGUGACGGUACCUGCAGAAAAAGCACCGGCUAACUACGUGCCAGCAGCCGCGGUAAUACGUAGGGUGCAAGCGUUGUCCGGAAUUAUUGGGCGUAAAGAGCUCGUAGGCGGUUUGUCACGUCUGCUGUGAAAAUCCAAGGCUCAACCUUGGACUUGCAGUGGGUACGGGCAGGCUAGAGUGCGGUAGGGGAGAUGGGAAUUCCUGGUGUAGCGGUGGAAUGCGCAGAUAUCAGGAGGAACACCAAUGGCGAAGGCACAUCUCUGGGCCGUAACUGACGCUGAGGAGCGAAAGCGUGGGGAGCGAACAGGAUUAGAUACCCCCGUAGUC